rnacentral:tRNA from 6 species
GGGCCUGUAGCUCAAUGGUUAGAGCCGGCCGCUCAUAACGGUCUGGUUCCUGGUUCGAAUCCAGGCGGGCCCACCA